rnacentral:piRNA from 1 species
UUUGAUGUUACUCAGAGUGCAGACCAUGGC